GCGGGAGGAAGAACACACAGGAGCUGCCGGACCAGAACAGAAGAACCCCUUGCCUGUAUAUUUAGCUCAUCGAGGAAUAUAAACAGAAACCUGGAGCCGGCUCAACGCCCCCCCUGAAGUCUCCAGGGCCUGGAACUGUGCCUGACACACGGUGGGCCUCAGGGAGGAGCCCUGCAGACAGAGCUGCCUGCCACGCCCCUGCGCGAGGAACACGCAUCCCUUCAGCAAACGCUCCAGCACCCACUCGAGGCCCAGCUCUGCUCUGCACAGACGGGCC
rnacentral:lncRNA from 1 species